GGUGCAAAAGAGAGUGUCUAAUUAUGGGUGCAAGGGCUCCAAUAGUUGGCGCCUAAUGGGCUUUCUAAUGUAAGUUGGAUAACUUAAGUUAAUAGAAAUCCUAAUGUAAGUAGGAUUUGUAUUAUGAGAUUGAAUAGGAUUCAAUCCUUAUGCUUAUUUAAAGGGACCUCCCCUAAGGUCUCUAAAGCAUCAAAACCAGCAGAUCCUCAC
rnacentral:lncRNA from 1 species